GAUGAACGCUAGCGGCAGGCUUAAUACAUGCAAGUCGAGGGGCAGCAAGACUGUAGCAAUACAGUUGCUGGCGACCGGCAAACGGGUGCGGAACACGUACGCAACCUUCCUUUAAGUGAGGGAUAGCCCAGGGAAACUUGGAUUAAUACCUCGUAAUAUUUGAGAGUGGCAUCACUUUCUAAUUAUAGCUCCGGCGCUUAAAGAUGGGCGUGCGACUGAUUAGGUAGUUGGCGGGGUAACGGCCCACCAAGCCUGCGAUCAGUAACUGGUGUGAGAGCACGACCAGUCGCACGGGCACUGAGACACGGGCCCGGCUCCUACGGGAGGCAGCAGUAAGGAAUAUUGGUCAAUGGACGCAAGUCUGAACCAGCCAUGCCGCGUGGAGGAUGAAGGUCCUCUGGAUUGUAAACUUCUUUUGUCUGGGAAGAAACCCAUAUUUUCUAGUGUGGUUGACGGUACCAGAUGAAUAAGCACCGGCUAACUCCGUGCCAGCCGCCGCGGUAAUAC
rnacentral:rRNA from 1 species